rnacentral:rRNA from 1 species
UGCGUAGGCGGUUUGGUAAGUCAGAUGUGAAAUUCCUGGGCUCAACCGAGGAACUGCAUUUGAUACUGCCAGACUAGAGUACUGGAGAGGAGACUGGAAUUCACGGUGUAGCAGUGAAAUGCGUAGAUAUCGUGAGGAAGGCCAGUGGCGAAGGCGAGUCUCUGGACAGUAACUGACGCUGAGGCACGAAGGCCAGGGGAGCAAAACG